rnacentral:rRNA from 1 species
UGGGGAAUUUUGGACAAUGGGCGAAAGCCUGAUCCAGCAAUGCCGCGUGUGUGAAGAAGGCCUUCGGGUUGUAAAGCACUUUUGUCCGGAAAGAAAUGGCUCUGGUUAAUACCUGGGGUCGAUGACGGUACCGGAAGAAUAAGGACCGGCUAACUACGUGCCAGCAGCCGCGGUAAUACGUAGGGUCCAAGCGUUAAUCGGAAUUACUGGGCGUAAAGCGUGCGCAGGCGGUUGUGCAAGACCGAUGUGAAAUCCCCGAGCUUAACUUGGGAAUUGCAUUGGUGACUGCACGGCUAGAGUGUGUCAGAGGGGGGUAGAAUUCCACGUGUAGCAGUGAAAUGCGUAGAGAUGUGGAGGAAUACCGAUGGCGAAGGCAGCCCCCUGGGAUAACACUGACGCUCAUGCACGAAGGCGUGGGGAGCAAACAGGAUUAGAUACCCUGGUAGUCCACGCCCUAAACGAUGUCAACUAGUUGUUGGGGAUUCAUUUCCUUAGUAACGUAGCUAACGCGUGAAGUUGACCGCCUGGGGAGUACGGUCGCAAGAUUAAAAGCUC